rnacentral:rRNA from 1 species
GAUGAACGCUGGCGGCGUGCCUAAUACAUGCAAGUCGAGCGAACGGACGAGAAGCUUGCUUCUCUGAUGUUAGCGGCGGACGGGUGAGUAACACGUGGAUAACCUACCUAUAAGACUGGGAUAACUUCGGGAAACCGGAGCUAAUACCGGAUAAUAUUUUGAACCGCAUGGUUCAAAAGUGAAAGACGGUCUUGCUGUCACUUAUAGAUGGAUCCGCGCUGCAUUAGCUAGUUGGUAAGGUAACGGCUUACCAAGGCAACGAUGCAUAGCCGACCUGAGAGGGUGAUCGGCCACACUGGAACUGAGACACGGUCCAGACUCCUACGGGAGGCAGCAGUAGGGAAUCUUCCGCAAUGGGCGAAAGCCUGACGGAGCAACGCCGCGUGAGUGAUGAAGGUCUUCGGAUCGUAAAACUCUGUUAUUAGGGAAGAACAUAUGUGUAAGUAACUUUGCACAUCUUGACGGUACCUAAUCAGAAAGCCACGGCUAACUACGUG